GGGGAUUUAGCUCAGUGGUAGAGCGCUUGCCUAGCAAGCGAAAGGCCCUGGGUUCGGUCCUCAGCUCUG
rfam:Rattus norvegicus chromosome 3, whole genome shotgun sequence.